ensembl:lncRNA HCP5 HLA complex P5
UCAUUUGUCCCCUUUUAAGGGUACCCUCCUUUAGAAUCCAGGACCUUCUACCCUGCAGAGUGUGGUUUUGGGAGAGAAGUGCAAAAUCCCACGACAGGACCCUGACUGUCCCACAGAAGAAGUGACAAGAAUUUAUUUAUGACAUGACAAUAACACAUGUAUUCAUGGUGUUAAUUCGAUUUGUUUCAUAGAGACAGGGUCUUGCUAUGUUGCCCAGGCUGGUCUUCCACUCCUGGCCUCAAGCAAUCCCCCUGACUUGGACUUCCAAAGUGCUAGCAUUACAGGUGUGAGCCAUUGUGCCCA